rnacentral:rRNA from 1 species
UACGUAGGGCGCAAGCGUUGUCCGGAAUUAUUGGGCGUAAAGAGCUUGUAGGCGGUUUGUCGCGUCUGCUGUGAAAAUCCGGGGCUCAACCCCGGACUUGCAGUGGGUACGGGCAGACUAGAGUGUGGUAGGGGAGACUGGAAUUCCUGGUGUAGCGGUGAAAUGCGCAGAUAUCAGGAGGAACACCGAUGGCGAAGGCAGGUCUCUGGGCCACUACUGACGCUGAGAAGCGAAAGCAUGGGGAGCGAACAGG